rnacentral:sRNA from 1 species
GCCAGGUGUGGAGGUGCUCACCUGUGAUCCCAGAUACUCAGGAGGCUGAGGCAGGAGGAUCACAGGUUUGAGGCUAGCCUGGGCAACUCAGUGGGACUCUGUCUCAA